AUUGAACGCUGGCGGCAUGCUUUACACAUGCAAGUCGAGCGGCAGCGCGGGGGCAACCCUGGCGGCGAGCGGCGAACGGGUGAGUAAUACAUCGGAACGUGUCCCGUAGUGGGGGAUAACCCGGCGAAAGCCGGACUAAUACCGCAUAUGCUCUACGGAGGAAAGUGGGGGACCCGCAAGGGCCUCACGCCAUGGGAGCGGCCGAUGUCCGAUUAGCUUGUUGGUGAGGUAAAGGCUUACCAAGGCGACGAUCGGUAGCUGGUCUGAGAGGAUGAUCAGCCACACUGGGCCUGAGACACGGCCCAGACUCCUACGGGAGGCAGCAGUGGGGAAUUUUGGACAAUGGGGGCAACCCUGAUCCAGCCAUGCCGCGUGCGGGAAGAAGGCCUUCGGGUUGUAAACCGCUUUUGUCCGGGGCGAAACGGGCGGGGUGAAUAUCCCCGUCUACUGACGGUACCGGAAGAAUAAGCACCGGCUAACUACGUGCCAGCAGCCGCCGUAAAAC
rnacentral:rRNA from 1 species